rnacentral:rRNA from 1 species
UCUUACGGCCAUAUCACGUUGAGAGCACCAGUUCUUGUCCGAUCACCGAAGUUAAGCAAUGUCGAGCCUACUGAAUACUUAGAUGGGUGACCGCUUGGAAAACCUGGGUGCUGUAAGUG